CCCCUUUUGUUCUAUUCAGACCUAUUUCUUUUCGGUUUUUUUUUUGAAGUCUUUCUCUAAAACUCUAAAAAAGUAUUCUUAAAGUUUUUUAUUUAUCUAAUUCUUUAGAUAUUAUUUAUUAAUUUCCAUAUUUAUUAUAUCUAUUUAUUAAUAUAUAAUUUGAUUUGUUAUUUGGAUUUGAAUUCAAUUUAAUAAAUAACCAAUUAACUCUUUUUGUUUUUGUUAUUGUAUGUUUUUAGUAUUUUCUCAAUCUUGCUAUUCAAUAUUCAAUGUCAUAUUGACAAUAUUGUAGUGAACAAAUAUAAUUUUCUCAUGGAGAAAUGGGCCCAUUUAUCUCCGUUCCAUAGGUUUUGGUUGUCUUUUUUUUAUGUUCAAAAUCGAUUAGAAAUUUUUUUGAUUCGAGUUCUUGCUAAUUUCAUUUUUUGAUUCCGUUUUGAAAUUCCUUUUUUUUUUUUUAUUUUUUUUUUAUUCCGAUUCUAUCUACCCAUUCGAAUUAUUUGGGUUGCUAACUCAACGGUAGAGUACUCGGCUUUUAAGUACGGCUAGCAUCUUUUACACAUUUCUAUGAAGCAAAGAAUUCGUCCAAAUCUUCGGGAGAGUUUGUAAGACUGCGACUGAUCCUGAAAGGAAUGAAUGGAAAAAACAGCAUGUCG
rnacentral:lncRNA from 1 species